CUGCUGCCUUCCGUAGGAGUUUGGGCCGUGUCUCAGUCCCAAUGUGGCCGUCCGCCCUCUCAGGCCGGCUACCGAUCGUCGCUUUGGUGGGCCGUUACCCCGCCAACUGGCUAAUCGGGCGCGGGCCCAUCCCGUGCCGCCGGAGCUUUCCGCAUACUGCCAUGCGGCUGUAUCGCGCUUAUGCGGUAUUAGCGCCUGUUUCCAGGCGGUAUCCCCCGGCACGGGGCCAGGUUGCCCACGCGUUACUCACCCGUCCGCCACUAACGUA
rnacentral:rRNA from 1 species